AAAAGGUUAAGCAAUAUAUUUUAAAAAUACAUUUAUAUCAUAUAAAGCAUUAAUUAUAAAUAAUAUUAACAUUAGAAUGUAUACUUGAAUUUGAAAAAAAGCUCUAAAACCCUAUGGACAUUUUCCAAUUCAGCGUCUAAUGAAUUCGCAAAUAGUUUAAUAGCACUACUCAUAUCAACUUUACUUUCAAAAAAAAAUUGUACAAUAUUUGGCGUUUUAGCCACAUUCUCAAAUGUAAAGUUUAAUUUCUUGAAUUUGUCCUCAAUCUCAAUUAUCUUUUGUCCUAAUCGAGAAACGAAUAUAUUCUGAAGGUUUAAGUCAAUUUCUUCUCCAAUUUUUAAAGACGUUACUAAUUGUAUUUGUUUGAUAAUAUAUAAUGGUUCAGAAGGAAAGUUGCUAUCAUUCAAAUGUGACAGGACACAUCUUAAAUUCGCAAAAAGGUUUUCUAUUGUAAU